AAGGAAACUCAAUUUAGCGCAGGAUGGCCAACCAGAAAUGUAAGAGCGCUCUCAUAUCUUACUAUAUGUUUCACUAUGGUGAAAACAGUUUGACAUGGAGAUGUUGGUGGACUAAGCUUAAGUUGGGGUGUCUGGGGAGACUGUCCUUUGUUGGAAUUAGUUACAGAUCUAUGAAAGGAUAAUGGCGAGAGCAGUGAAGAAGCAGAGGUGCAUUGCAGUUUCUCUUUUAGAUGAGGUGAGUGCAGAAAAUGGCUUUUCCAGCUUGAUAUUUUUCAGAUCCUAUUGUCAAGAGUGGCUCUCCGCUCGACAAUGUGGUUGAGAAAGGCAGCCCCCAUAAAAUGCAAGUACGAUGUCAUUCCUAAGAAACAAUGUUUCGAAACGGUCAUUUGACUCGAAGUGGGGUUGGGGUCACUUCUCUUAUUCUUCUGAACAGUGCAGUUCAAGAGUCAGGAUCCCUAUAUGAUUUCACUGGCGAAUGCUAUGAACCUGUGUUCUUUGGUAAAUAUACAAUUAUUAUUCUACACAUAUUUCACUGUAAUUGUUUACCAGUGUUUGUUGAUGAGAUGAAAUGUUUGUGGGGGGGGGGGGGGGGUAGCUUCUGUUGCUUUUUUGUUGUUUUAUCAACAGAGUUAUGAAGAAAACUAAUGCAGGAUAGCCAUCAAAAUAUGUAAGAACCCUCUCAUAUCUUACUAUAUGUUCGCUAUGGUGAAAACAGUUUGACAUGGAGAUGUUGGUGGACUAAGCUUAAGUUGGGGUGUCUGGGGAGACUGUCCUUUGUUGGAAUUAGUUACAGAUCUAUGAAAGGAUAAUGGCGAGAGCAGUGAAGAAGCAGAGGUGCAUUGCAGUUUCUCUUUUAGAUGAGGUGAGUGCAGAAAACGGCUUUUCCAGCUUGAUAUUUUUCAGAUCCUAUUGUCAAGAGUGGCUCUCCGCUCGACAAUGUGGUUGAGAAAGGCAGCCCCCAUAAAAUGCAAGUACGAUGUCAUUCCUAAGAAACAAUGUUUCGAAACGGUCAUUUGACUCGAAGUGGGGUUGGGGUCACUUCUCUUAUUCUUCUGAACAGUGCAGUUCAAGAGUCAGGAUCCCUAUAUGAUUUCACUGGCGAAUGCUAUGAACCUGUGUUCUUUGGUAAAUAUACAAUUAUUAUUCUACACAUAUUUCACUGUAAUUGUUUACCAGUGUUUGUUGAUGAGAUGAAAUGUUUGUGGGGGAAGCUUCUGUUGCAUUAUUGUUGUUUUAUCAACAGAGUUAUGAAGAAAACUAAUGCAGGAUAGCCAUCAAAAUAUGUAAGAACCCUCUCAUAUCUUACUAUAUGUUCGCUAUGGUGAAAACAGUUGGACAUGGAGAUGUUGGUGGACUAAGCUUAAGUUGGGGUGUCUGGGGAGACUGUCCUUUGUUGGAAUUAGUUACAGAUCUAUGAAAGGAUAAUGGCGAGAGCAGUGAAGAAGCAGAGGUGCAUUGCAGUUUCUCUUUUAGAUGAGGUGAGUGCAGAAAACGGCUUUUCCAGCUUGAUAUUUUUCAGAUCCUAUUGUCAAGAGUGGCUCUCCGCUCGACAAUGUGGUUGAGAAAGGCAGCCCCCAUAAAAUGCAAGUACGAUGUCAUUCCUAAGAAACAAUGUUUCGAAACGGUCAUUUGACUCGAAGUGGGGUUGGGGUCACUUCUCUUAUUCUUCUGAACAGUGCAGUUCAAGAGUCAGGAUCCCUAUAUGAUUUCGCUGGCGAAUGCUAUGAACCUGUGUUCUUUGGUAAAUAUACAAUUAUUAUUCUACACAUAUUUCACUGUAAUUGUUUACCAGUGUUUCUUGAUGAGAUGAAAUGUUUGUGGGGGGGGGGUAGCUUCUGUUGCUUUAUUGUUGUUUUAUCAACAGAGUUAUGAAGAAAACUAAUGCAGGAUAGCCAUCAAAAUAUGUAAGAACCCUCUCAUAUCUUACUAUAUGUUCGCUAUGGUGAAAACAGUUGGACAUGGAGAUGUUGGUGGACGAAGCUUAAGUUGGGGUGUCUGGGGAGACUGUCCUUUGUUGGAAUUAGUUACAGAUCUAUGAAAGGAUAAUGGCGAGAGCAGUGAAGAAGCAGAGGUGCAUUGCAGUUUCUCUUUUAGAUGAGGUGAGUGCAGAAAACGGCUUUUCCAGCUUGAUAUUUUUCAGAUCCUAUUGUCAAGAGUGGCUCUCCGCUCGACAAUGUGGUUGAGAAAGGCAGCCCCCAUAAAAUGCAAGUACGAUGUCAUUCCUAAGAAACAAUGUUUCGAAACGGUCAUUUGACUCGAAGUGGGGUUGGGGUCACUUCUCUUAUUCUUCUGAACAGUGCAGUUCAAGAGUCAGGAUCCCUAUAUGAUUUCGCUGGCGAAUGCUAUGAACCUGUGUUCUUUGGUAAAUAUACAAUUAUUAUUCUACACAUAUUUCACUGUAAUUGUUUACCAGUGUUUGUUGAUGAGAUGAAAUGUUUGUGGGGGGGGGGGUAGCUUCUGUUGCUUUAUUGUUGUUUUAUCAACAGAGUUAUGAAGAAAACUAAUGCAGGAUAGCCAUCAAAAUAUGUAAGAACCCUCUCAUAUCUUACUAUAUGUUCGCUAUGGUGAAAACAGUUUGACAUGGAGAUGUUGGUGGACUAAGCUUAAGUUGGGGUGUCUGGGGAGACUGUCCUUUGUUGGAAUUAGUUACAGAUCUAUGAAAGGAUAAUGGCGAGAGCAGUGAAGAAGCAGAGGUGCAUUGCAGUUUCUCUUUUAGAUGAGGUGAGUGCAGAAAACGGCUUUUCCAGCUUGAUAUUUUUCAGAUCCUAUUGUCAAGAGUGGCUCUCCGCUCGACAAUGUGGUUGAGAAAGGCAGCCCCCAUAAAAUGCAAGUACGAUGUCAUUCCUAAGAAACAAUGUUUCGAAACGGUCAUUUGACUCGAAGUGGGGUUGGGGUCACUUCUCUUAUUCUUCUGAACAGUGCAGUUCAAGAGUCAGGAUCCCUAUAUGAUUUCGCUGGCGAAUGCUAUGAACCUGUGUUCUUUGGUAAAUAUACAAUUAUUAUUCUACACAUAUUUCACUGUAAUUAUUUACCAGUGUUUGUUGAUGAGAUGAAAUGUUUGUGGGGGGGGUAGCUUCUGUUGCUUUUUUGUUGUUUUAUCAACAGAGUUAUGAAGAAAACUAAUGCAGGAUAGCCAUCAAAAUAUGUAAGAACCCUCUCAUAUCUUACUAUAUGUUCGCUAUGGUGAAAACAGUUUGACAUGGAGAUGUUGGUGGACUAAGCUUAAGUUGGGGUGUCUGGGGAGACUGUCCUUUGUUGGAAUUAGUUACAGAUCUAUGAAAGGAUAAUGGCGAGAGCAGUGAAGAAGCAGAGGUGCAUUGCAGUUUCUCUUUUAGAUGAGGUGAGUGCAGAAAACGGCUUUUCCAGCUUGAUAUUUUUCAGAUCCUAUUGUCAAGAGUGGCUCUCCGCUCGACAAUGUGGUUGAGAAAGGCAGCCCCCAUAAAAUGCAAGUACGAUGUCAUUCCUAAGAAACAAUGUUUCGAAACGGUCAUUUGACUCGAAGUGGGGUUGGGGUCACUUCUCUUAUUCUUCUGAACAGUGCAGUUCAAGAGUCAGGAUCCCUAUAUGAUUUCGCUGGCGAAUGCUAUGAACCUGUGUUCUUUGGUAAAUAUACAAUUAUUAUUCUACACAUAUUUCACUGUAAUUGUUUACCAGUGUUUGUUGAUGAGAUGAAAUGUUUGUGGGGGGGGGGGGGGGUAGCUUCUGUUGCUUUUUUGUUGUUUUAUCAACAGAGUUAUGAAGAAAACUAAUGCAGGAUAGCCAUCAAAAUAUGUAAGAACCCUCUCAUAUCUUACUAUAUGUUCGCUAUGGUGAAAACAGUUUGACAUGGAGAUGUUGGUGGACUAAGCUUAAGUUGGGGUGUCUGGGGAGACUGUCCUUUGUUGGAAUUAGUUACAGAUCUAUGAAAGGAUAAUGGCGAGAGCAGUGAAGAAGCAGAGGUGCAUUGCAGUUUCUCUUUUAGAUGAGGUGAGUGCAGAAAACGGCUUUUCCAGCUUGAUAUUUUUCAGAUCCUAUUGUCAAGAGUGGCUCUCCGCUCGACAAUGUGGUUGAGAAAGGCAGCCCCCAUAAAAUGCAAGUACGAUGUCAUUCCUAAGAAACAAUGUUUCGAAACGGUCAUUUGACUCGAAGUGGGGUUGGGGUCACUUCUCUUAUUCUUCUGAACAGUGCAGUUCAAGAGUCAGGAUCCCUAUAUGAUUUCACUGGCGAAUGCUAUGAACCUGUGUUCUUUGGUAAAUAUACAAUUAUUAUUCUACACAUAUUUCACUGUAAUUGUUUACCAGUGUUUGUUGAUGAGAUGAAAUGUUUGUGGGGGGGGGGGGGGGUAGCUUCUGUUGCUUUUUUGUUGUUUUAUCAACAGAGUUAUGAAGAAAACUAAUGCAGGAUAGCCAUCAAAAUAUGUAAGAACCCUCUCAUAUCUUACUAUAUGUUCGCUAUGGUGAAAACAGUUUGACAUGGAGAUGUUGGUGGACUAAGCUUAAGUUGGGGUGUCUGGGGAGACUGUCCUUUGUUGGAAUUAGUUACAGAUCUAUGAAAGGAUAAUGGCGAGAGCAGUGAAGAAGCAGAGGUGCAUUGCAGUUUCUCUUUUAGAUGAGGUGAGUGCAGAAAACGGCUUUUCCAGCUUGAUAUUUUUCAGAUCCUAUUGUCAAGAGUGGCUCUCCGCUCGACAAUGUGGUUGAGAAAGGCAGCCCCCAUAAAAUGCAAGUACGAUGUCAUUCCUAAGAAACAAUGUUUCGAAACGGUCAUUUGACUCGAAGUGGGGUUGGGGUCACUUCUCUUAUUCUUCUGAACAGUGCAGUUCAAGAGUCAGGAUCCCUAUAUGAUUUCACUGGCGAAUGCUAUGAACCUGUGUUCUUUGGUAAAUAUACAAUUAUUAUUCUACACAUAUUUCACUGUAAUUGUUUACCAGUGUUUGUUGAUGAGAUGAAAUGUUUGUGGGGGGGGAGGGGGUAGCUUCUGUUGCUUUUUUGUUGUUUUAUCAACAGAGUUAUGAAGAAAACUAAUGCAGGAUAGCCAUCAAAAUAUGUAAGAACCCUCUCAUAUCUUACUAUAUGUUCGCUAUGGUGAAAACAGUUUGACAUGGAGAUGUUGGUGGACUAAGCUUAAGUUGGGGUGUCUGGGGAGACUGUCCUUUGUUGGAAUUAGUUACAGAUCUAUGAAAGGAUAAUGGCGAGAGCAGUGAAGAAGCAGAGGUGCAUUGCAGUUUCUCUUUUAGAUGAGGUGAGUGCAGAAAACGGCUUUUCCAGCUUGAUAUUUUUCAGAUCCUAUUGUCAAGAGUGGCUCUCCGCUCGACAAUGUGGUUGAGAAAGGCAGCCCCC